rnacentral:rRNA from 1 species
GAUGAACGCUGACAGAAUGCUUAACACAUGCAAGUCAACUUGAACUUCGGUUUGGGUGGCGGACGGGUGAGUAACGCGUAAAGAACUUGCCUCACAGAUAGGGACAACAUUUGGAAACGAAUGCUAAUACCUAAUAUUAUGAUUUUAGGGCAUCCUAGGAUUAUGAAAGCUACAUGCGCUGUGAGAGAGCUUUGCGUCCCAUUAGCUAGUUGGAGAGGUAACGGCUCACCAAGGCGAUGAUGGGUAGCCGGCCUGAGAGGGUGAUCGGCCACAAGGGGACUGAGACACGGCCCUUACUCCUACGGGAGGCAGCAGUGGGGAAUAUUGGACAAUGGACCAAGAGUCUGAUCCAGCAAUUCUGUGUGCACGGUGAAGUUUUUCGGAAUGUAAAGUGCUUUCAGUUGGGAAGAAAAAAAUGACGGUACCAACAGAAGAAGUGACGGCUAAAUACGUGCCAGCAGCCGCGGUAAUACGUAUGUCACAAGCGUUAUCCGGAUUUAUUGGGCGUAAAGCGCGUCUAGGUGGUUAUAUAAGUCUGAUGUGAAAAUGCAGGGCUCAACUCUGUAUUGCGUUGGAAACUGUGUAACUAGAGUACUGGAGAGGUAAGCGGAACUACAAGUGUAGAGGUGAAAUUCGUAGAUAUUUGUAGGAAUGCCGAUGGGGAAGCCAGCUUACUGGACAGAUACUGACGCUGAAGCGCGAAAGCGUGGGUAGCAAACAGG